UCCCGCGCAGCCCGCUGACGUCUGCGGCCGUCUGAGCCCACGGUGGGACGUUCCCGUCUGGGUUACCGAGCCCUGGGGUUUGGGGCGGUUCGUCUGCGCUCAGCACAGCGAUCCCAACCUUUAUCCGCGCCCCGAUGCUGCCCUCCACGUCCUCGUGGACACCCGACAGGGCGGUGGGAUUUGGGGUGAGGAAAUGGGGCAGGGAGUAGGGAUGAGGAGUUCCCAGAGGGACACACUUGGGAUGGAGAGACCCAAAAGUGAGCCCACGUUUUGGCUGGGUCAGAUGGAAAGCCCCAUGCAGGCAGCGCUCAGUGAGGUUUUACCUCCUGCAGCAAAUAGAGGCAAGAAAACAGGGUGAUCGAAUUAAAGCCCGUCGUGUCAUCCUCCAAAAAAGUACACAGAGUGCUCAGACUGUCCUCACACACCACGUCCUACCUUCUCAGGGCUUGCACAGAACACCCCCAUAUAAAUACUCACUAUUUCAAUAAAGCAAAAAGAAAAAGCGGCAGUGCCCAGAGAGCCCUUCAGCCCUCAGCCUGCAUCACACACAGCCCUCCCCACACCUCCCUGCAGCACAGGGUCAUCCUCCUGCCUAACCCCCCCCACACACAAGGCAAAACUUCCUGCUGCGCUGACUUGGUGACCUCACAUCACUUAGGAGAUGGCUCCCGAAGCAAGGAGCCAGGCUUUAAUCGCAGCUCACAUUUUAUUGGUGGCUUGGAAGCGUUUAUUUUUAAUAUAAGGGACUGGUUUGAAGACAGACGCUUCAAAGGACUCUGGAGAAAGCAAACAAUUACGGACAAAUCAUCUCCACACACAGAGACACCAGAAAUCUAAAUGCAAAGGGCAGAGGGCUGUCUGUACAGGAAGAUGAAGCAACUGUUUCUCUCCUUAGAAGCACCGGUUGUGUGUGCAUCCCAAAGCAGGCAAAACCAGAUGAAAACAGACAUAAAAAUCCAGCAGCUCACAGCCCAGGGCUCUCCGUGCUGAGCUGCACGGCCAGGGACGCAGCACAGAGAUGCACUGAGGGCACGGUGAGUCCCAGCACUGCGUGUUUGGGAUGUGCAGCUCACCGCCUGCUCUCACAUUGCCCACUGCUGGAGCACGCUGUGUUCUCCCAUCAGGCUGACAGCAAGCAGCACUGCAUUGUGCAGCAGUUUGGGAUGUGUUCUAUGGGAAACUUGCAAACCUCUCUGCCUGCAGUGAGGCUCCUCCCUGCUGCUCUGAGCUUGGCACAUCAGUAAGCUGUCCUGCAAAGGAAAGAGGAAAUUUUCCUUGGAACUCCACUCCUGUGGCUGAGCGUUCCCACAGUGAGCGCACAGCUGGGCACAGCCAUCAUUUCCAGUUCUGUCACUCCAAAGGUGAUUUUCCAAAGCUCUGGAGCGCGGGGCUGUGCAGGGAAUGCCAUUCAUAGCUGAGGGCAGCGAGGAAUAAAUCAGCUGCCAUGGAAAUCAGGAGGAAGUUCUCGUGGAGGUGAGGGGAGUUUUGAAGGCGUGUGAAGAUGCAGUUGAACUUUAAAGCUUGUUCCAAUGAUCUGUAAGAAGAAUUUCUAAGAAGAAUUUCCUCUCGAAGGCCUUUUUACGACACCACAUUUGAUUUGCAUCGAAUGUUCAGGGCGAGCUGAAGCUAAAAUUAGGAAAUUCAUCCGUGGAAAGGAAAACAUCUCUUCAUCCAGGGAAAGGAAAGGAGUUCUUGUGUCCACCUCCCGUUUAAGGCUCAGCACUGAGAAGCAGCCCAGUUACUGCGUGUGCAAACAGUGGGAAAGGUGACUCCACAAAACCCAGCUCUUGGGAUCCUCCCUGCCCUGCACGUCACAUGCAGCAGGUGAUACUGGGCUGAGCUGCUUUAUAGGAUGAACACAGAGGGAGCAGCACAAACCCAUGGAGCUCCUUUAGGAGCAGAGCACACAGGCUGCUGCUGGCAGUGGACUUUGACCUCUGGAAGAUAAAAGGGAAAAGCUCAAUCCACAAAUCCCAAGGACUUUGCAUCUCGUUACACAACACAGCAGUCACGUGGGUGCUGGUCAUUGGUUUGGUCGUUGCACACUGCUUAUUUUGAAGCAGGGACUUUGUAAAGAGAAAUAUGCACUGGGUAUGUAUGCAUCUAGCAUGUAGAAGCUGCAAUAGUCGUGCUUGCACACAUGGUCUUCAACCUAAACAUGCCUGGCCCUGGCAGAACUCAAACCUGGCAGGUAAUUAUUGGAGUUCUUAUGUUCAUGAUGUGGUCCAGAACAAUCGGGGUUGACUACGAGAAUAAGAAUUGAAAGGAGCCUUUUUUGGGAGCAAAAUUAAGGAGUGGGAGGAAGUGAACCAGAAAGUGUGCAGUGAAGGUAUUGCAGGAGGCACAGCAGUGUGAGAACCUCUGCUCACCUUAUCUCCAGUUGUUGGAACACGAAGGGUGGGCAAAUAGCAAAUUAAAUGAUAAGCAGCCACCACGCAGGGCUCUGCAUGAAGCACAGAGUUCACAGGCAUUCGGAGCGAGGCGUUGUUAGUGUUCUCAAAGGACGGGCAUCAUUCAGCUGAAAGUCAAUAUGAACAUCUACGAGCUGAGCUUUCAGAAGGAUGAUUGUCCACUGCUCUCAGAGCACAGCCCAGCGUCCACCUCUUGGGGCUCAGGGGAGAUUCCUGCAAGGUGCUCAGCACCUGGAAGCCAAGGGAGCGAGGGGCUGCGCUUACCCAUAAUAACCCCAUCUGAGAGCAGCUGACUGAGACAGCCAUGGCUGUGCCUGGGCAGGGAGGGGAUCAGGAGGGGCAGAGAACAGCCACGACUUGCAGGCCAAGCAAUAGUCGCUGCACAGCAGGUUCACCGUGGGCUUCCUGCAUCCCCAGCUUACCGGAUCUGUGCUCCAGUUUACAAGAGGUGCUUUGGUUAUUGUGUGACACAAGACACGUUUCCUUCAGUGCCCUCCUCGUGAGGACGGAAUCACAGAGCGUUGCUUCGUGGGGCAGCUGCACAGCUCCCCAGGUGGGGAUGCACUUCAAAAGUGCUCCUUCAGCUGUCUCCCUUAAAGGCAAACUACACUAACAGGGAGUGCACACCUGGAGCUGAACCAGAAUCCUGGAUGUGAGACCCCCACUCAGCUGGAAAGCGGCCCAGGGCUUCACACACCAAGACCAGUCAGCAGCGCUCUGCGUUACACUGCUCAGACUGCAGCAGAGCUCCUGGCUGCCCCAGGAAAGGAUGUGAGCAAUCCCUGACAAACUGCCUCUGAUUCACUGAGGAACGACAUACCAAAAAUCAUUGCAGAUAAAAAAAAUGCUAAGCGUGGCUUCACUGAUAAUUUAUCUAAUGGCUGGGAAGAAUGGGGUAAUAGAAGGGAGACGAGAGAGAACAGCACUACAUUGCUAUGGAAACCAGGAUUUUCAAAAUAAAUACCUUUGCAGAACUGAGGUUGCAGAUCUAAAA